GUGGGGAAUAUUGGACAAUGGGGGGAACCCUGAUCCAGCCAUGCCGCGUGUGUGAAGAAGGCCUUUUGGUUGUAAAGCACUUUAAGCGAGGAGGAGGCUACCGAGAUUAAUACUCUUGGAUAGUGGACGUUACUCGCAGAAUAAGCACCGGCUAACUCUGUGCCAGCAGCCGCGGUAAUACAGAGGGUGCAAGCGUUAAUCGGAUUUACUGGGCGUAAAGCGCGCGUAGGUGGCCAAUUAAGUCGAAUGUGAAAUCCCCGAGCUUAACUUGGGAAUGGCAUUCGAUACUGGUUGGCUAGAGUAUGGGAGAGGAUGGUAGAAUUCCAGGUGUAGCGGUGAAAUGCGUAGAGAUCUGGAGGAAUACCGAUGGCGAAGGCAGCCAUCUGGCCUAAUACUGACACUGAGGUGCGAAAGCAUGGGGAGCAAACAGGAUUAGAAACCCCAGUAGUCC
rnacentral:rRNA from 1 species